AUAACCACAAAUGCAGAGACAUUCUUUAAGGGUGUUGUUUGUUUGGCCUGUGAUCUAAUGCCUUUUUGAGAAAGGUAUCCAUAGAUAUAUGAAAGGUCAUGGCUCUGUUGAUGUAUGUCUUUCCACCAAUGUUUGGCAUCUUGGAGAAUCUUCACUUCUCAGUGGACAUCAGGGGUGAGCAGCCUGCUUUGCCUGGAUCUUGCUCUCAUCAGUUGUGGCAGGGCCUCAUUUCUGUCUCUCAUGGUUGGUUAUACUUCACUCUGCCCUGUGAUUCCCACAGUCCUCAAUGUCUUCACUACUGUUGUACUUGGCAUAUGACUUUUAACCUUUCCCUCUACUCUUUUAGCAAAAAGGCAUUAGGUCAUGGGCCACUUGUCCUCAGGGCUGAGUUUUAACAUCUGUCCUGAAGGACUAUAUUGAGAGAAAACAAGGAGCACUUGGUCCACAAGGGUUUUCUCUUGCUUUCUCCUGAGUCCUAAUACUGUAACAGUCAUAACAAGACUCAUUUUUGCUUCCUAUCAUAAACUUUCCAAGGACUGAAAAAUAGAUAUUAAGUAAAUAAAAUAAAACCCUUCUUUCUCAAGGUUAAACCUUACAAUAGAACCAUGUUUUUUGAUUACAGUCCUUUCAUCAAAUCUUGCCUAUCACUAAAUCACAUUUUUGGAAGGAAAUUCCUCAGAGCUUAUCAGGUUUUCAUGCUUUCAUUAGAGAAGUUUAUUGAUGCUGAGUUGAUCCUAUUCCACAGGUCACCUAUCAAAAUAAUUUACUUUGUUUUGCCUUACAGAUUAUUUCUGUGGUCUUGCCAAAGGUUUGUAGCAAUAUAUUACUAUUAUCCAUGUCUACAGUACCAUAAUGCAUUUUUAUAAUCAACACCACUUUCUAAGCAGAAAACUGAACUUUUUUUUGGGUGACUUUCUCUGAAAAUCGAUUAAUAUUCUUCAGCCAGGAACAUGGCCCUUUUCCAAUAGAAACACACUGAGAACUCUUAAUGGACUUUGAGGAGCAUGGUGAUGUAUCAUGGAUCAUAUGUGAUUAGAAGCAAGAAGGAGAAGAAACUGUUGAUGCCUUGGUUUCUUUAACAAUCUCUCAGUGUUGGCAUAAAUGUCUACAAACCAUCCACUCAUCUUCACCACGCCUCCUUCCGUGAAGGUUCGGCUGUUUUGACAGGAUAAUCUGAAGAUGUUUCCUGAUGAAAAAGAUACUUCGCUGCCUGGAUUGCUCUGUGAUAAGCACUGUUAAAGAUCAUAUUCAGUGAAUUGCAAAAUUCUCAGCAGGAGAAGGUAGAUGAAGAAAAGCCACAAAGACAUUGCAAAAGGUAAGGAAAAGGACAGUGGGCAGAUUAUAAGAAAGGGGAGUGGAAGGGAAAACAACUGUACAACUUUACCAGUGUGAUGGGAAAAAAGGACAAUUAAGGGAUACUUCACGCAGGGCAAAACACACAAAAGCAUUCAUUUUUAAAUUUCUCAUAUUUGUUUUUGCCGAAAGAUGUGUGUGUAUGUAAUUAUUACUCUCCAUUUAGUGAAUAUCAGUGGUGUAGAUACAAAAUGGCACAAAACUGAUUUUCUUUCCUUCCUUCUCCUGACUAGCUGGAAGCGAAAAGUUCCAUAAGUGGUGAUUAAGCCAUAGACUCUUGAGGUAUCCGUUUAAUACACUGGUGGAAAAAAGCCCUAAAAAUUAGAAAAAGCUUAUUGAAAUGAAAAUUCCUUACUUCAGUCAGUUCAGAGAUUCAAAAGAGUUUGGGGAUGAACUAGGAAUUUAUCAAAAAAACUAGUCUUCCUUAUCAGAGUCGAAAAACUCGCACUCUGAGUCUCAUAGUAUAUCUCUUUUAGGAUUUUGAAAACUGUGACCUGAGGGCCACAUCUGGUCUGUCACCUGUUUUUUGUUGAAGCUGUAUGGUAACUCUCACUUGCACCUUUGUUUGCAUGUCUCUGUUUCAUCUGGCUGCUUGGGUGCUACAAAUCCAGAGGUUAGUAGUUGUCACAGAGACUGUAUGUUCCACAAGGCCAAGACUAUUUAUUAUUUGACCCCAUAAAAAUUUUGUUGACUUCUGUAUUUAUUUUAAACAUACCUAUUAUUCCAGGUUCAACUUGAAUCUUUCUAAGAAUUUUCUUGCAAUUUUCCCUGCUCACACUGCCCUCUGUAUCUGUAGAUUGUUGUUAAAAUUAUAGAUAUAUCCAUACCAUCCACAGCUUAACUAAACUUCAGGUAAGUUUUUUUUUUCUUUCUUCAUUACCUUAUUCUUGCAGCAUUUAUAUGAGAAAACAAAAUUUUAAAUUCCUUCUCCUUCCCUAGGAUAUGUGAAAGUUUUACAACCCAGGAAUGUCUUGCUCAAGAACCUGGGAGACUUCCUUUCUCAAAGUAAUAAUUGAGAAAGAUAAGGCCCCUUUAUCCCAGUCUCUGUGCAGAGGUAGACACUAACUCCCAUUAGUGCUACUUAGAAGGCCACCCUUCAGGCUAAGGACCGGGAGUACUUUUUAAUUAGUUCACUCUGUGUUUGCAAAUCCACCCCCAUCUUUGUUUCAGAGGAGCUGAGUUCAAUCUCUUGCAGUCAUCUUUAAUAAUCUUGACCAUCAGCAAAUUGUGCUUGCAUUUUUUGUUUGUUUGUUUGUUUAUUUGUUUUAGGCUAUACCCUAGGCCUAUGGAAGUUCUAAGGCUAGGGGUUGAAUUGGGCACAGCUGCGGGCCACAGCCACAGCCAUAGCAAUGAGGAGCCAAGCCUCCUCUGUGACCUCUCACAGCAACGUUGAAUCCUUAAGCCACUGAGGGAGGCCAGAGAUUGAACCUGCAUCCUGAUGGAUAGUAGUCAGAUUGGUUUCCACUGAGCUGCUACAGGAACUCCUAGCACAAAGUUUUGGAUAAAGUUUUCCUUGCCAAGUUAAUUCUAUCUAGUGCAAUACUUGUUUGAAACAUCUGCGACUCUUUUCUAUCAAAUAAAAGUCUUACUCUCAAAAUCCAUAGUGAUGGCUGCCUUAGUGAGUUUGGGCUGCUACAACAGAAUACACUGCGUGGGGUGGCUUACACAAUAGUUAUUUAUUUCUCAUAUUUCUAACAGUUAAACAUUCAAGAUCAGGUGGAACAAAGUCAGGUUCUGAGGAAUGCCAUGUUUCUGAUUUACACAGGGUGGGUCAUUUUUCUCAUGCAUCCUCACAUGACAACAGAAGAGGAAAAGGGUAGAGCUCUUUUCUUCCUAGAGGGACUCCACCCUCAUAAACUAAUUGCCCCCCAAAGGCCCCAGCUCCCAGUACCAUCCCUCUGGAGGUUGGUGUUCCAAUAUAGGAUACAGUAUGGGGCACCACAAAUUUGCAGUCCACAAGCAUAGUAGCUUACACUAUUUAUAGUCAGUGGGAUUUGGUUAGACUCUUCAUGAUACUCUGUGUGUAAGAGUGAUAGUCUCCAAGUUGGCCUUAUUUCAUCACUUUUAUGUAUUUACCUUGAUUCAUUAUGAUAAAUAGUCACCAACUAUAAAAACAGUUGUUGGAUCAAAGAUAGGGGGAUUUUGAAAAGAAAAAAAUAUGACCGGGUCAAAGAAAUGCCAAUCAGGUUGGCAUUUGAAUCUAUAUCAAAACCCAGUCAAUUCUCCACUUCUAAAAUCAACAAUAGGACAUUUACAGAUUUCUUUUAAUCACAAACUCAUUUAAUGUGUGUUAACUAACAUUUACUGAGUAUGGCCCUCUUUCCCAGCAAACACCUACAAGUUCAUUAUUGGAUAAAGAGGCACAUGGUAAACCUAAUGUGUUUAAGUGGAUGAAUCAUUGGUGCCCCAUCAUUAUCACAUCCAAAAUGUUCUGAGAUUUUUAUUUGAGACAUAAAUAACCACGUGUGCUUUACAACACCUUUUAUGAAUGGACUGGGAUAUUUCUGGCUGUACAUAACUUCUGGGGAAAAAGUCAUGUCCUCUUCCUAUAAAAUUGAUUGGUCUACUUUGACAUGCAUCUUUAGAAAUACAAUUGUUUAACAGAAAAAUUUGUCUUGAAACACCUCUGUUUAUUUUCCUAAUUAGUGGAAGCUUAAAGGCAUAUUUAACCCUUAGAAUGAGUAAUGGUCAUGAUAUUCUUCCUAGUUUUAUUUAUCAAAGCCAGAAACUACAAAAAUAUUUACUGAAAUUUUUUUUGGCAAAUGAAAAAAUUUUCUAAUGAUGCAAGUACGAGUAACUGCAGUAAAUGAAAAGAAUGUGACAAAUUGGAAACUUUCUUGCAGUACACAUCAAAAAUAUGUUUUUGUGAGGAGAAAAAGUGUAUUGAUAGGACACUACAGAAUAGCAGUCGACAUGAAACAUGAAAAUAUUAACUUUGGUCAUAAUAAGCUUAAAUCUCAAAUUUUGAAAUGGUAUUAUCUGUCAAUGUCCAGUGACUCAGGAAGAGCAGAAAUGGAGGGGUAUGGUAAGUUAAACAGUAAUGGGACUUCUUUAAAUUCUCCACAUGCUGGCUUUUUGCCUCUUCACCCUGCAAGGUUCACUCUCAACUCUUCCUGAGGGACAGGUCAUUUUCUCUGAUAGAAAAUUAUUUUCUUAAUCAGAGAGUUAUGUGGGAGCCUGAGAUUCAGUUUUGGAAAUUAAUGUUUCCUCUGAAAAGACAAGCUUGUCCAUGAAAACACCCUCUCUGCCAGCAGCAGUUGGACCCAUCCUGGGCAGGGUUGACUUGCCUCUGAAAGUUCUAUUAUGACACAUCACCAUGGUAAUGUGAUUAUGCACUAAGUUCUAUUAUGACACAUCACCGUGGUAAUGUGAUUAUGCACCUCAUGGUCAGACUGCCACUCUGUAGUGAGAGUUUGGUAUCUGCUGGCCACUUUGUAGCUCUGCCUUAAUAGUUCAAACUUUAGGAAUGGGAAAUUUUAGUUCCUGUCCCACAGGUAAGUUUACAUGGAUCCCCUAAAGUCUGUUCCUUCAAAUGGGCUCACUAAUUUUGCUCAAACAUUUUCUUCAUCUUUUUUUUUCUCAUUUCUAUCACUCUAAACUAUCUAUAGAGUUAUAAGUGUAACUUCCAGUUUUGUUGUAUUAAUUAAUAUGUCUGGUCCACAGGCCUGAAAUAUUUUCCUGAAUGUAGAGAACCAUAUUAUUUCCUAAUGCCAAUUUUGUCAGUCUCAACCAGAGAAAAGACAAAGGGAACCUACCCACUCUGCUUCCACUAAAGCAGGUGAAACUGGAUGCCUCCCCAGGAAUGGAUGUUUCAGGAGGAGCAGGGACUUACAGCUCAGCUCUUCUGAAUGUAGCUGUCAAAAUCUGAAACCAAAUAGUGGGGGUCUAAAUACAGAGAGUGUUAUAAAGCAAGGAAACUGGGAUUUACUGGCAGGAUUCCCAUGAGUUGAUGUGGACAGAAUCACGGGCUGUUUGCAUAUUGCCAGGGUGUUUGAUGAGAAGGAACAGUGUGAUCAUUUAGUGGGAUGAACAUGUGGUCACUGAUGGAAUGAGGUUCAGUCUGGGGAUCCUCAAGGAGCAAUCUGGGUGGGGUUGCCUGCCUCUUGAACAUGGAUGUGGCUUUCAAAUGGAUGUGGGACACUGUGGCCUUCUUCUCCAAGCAGCUAGAGACAGAUGAGGUGUUGAUAGAGCAGAAUUUUGGUGAGGACUUGAGCCCUGCCCAUCCUUAGGCAGCCCUUUGUCCAGGCUGCUCAGAGGGGUACUCAAAUCAAUUAUUAGUGAGACUCUGAGCAACCAAGACUUACUUGCCUCAGCCCUCAGGGUUGGUCCAUUGAAAGGAAGCUGGUCCUUGGCAAAGCCAUCAUGUGGAGUUUGGUUUAGAAUGUUCUGAGCUCUGGGUCAAGUGAUCAUUGGGAAGCUCCUCUGGACAAAGACAGCUGACAGGAAGAAGAUUCUGGGAGAACAAGAGCAGUUAGAAUCCCUGUGUCUUUCAGACCUUCAGAAGGGCUUUGUUUGGAAGAAAUGUUUAUAUUGUGGAUCAGGGGGAGAAAGAUGGGGAUCAAAGGCGGAGCAAGGGUGUGGGCUCUUCUCUAAGCUCAGGCAAUUCCUCUGGGACAUCAGAACUCACCCACAGAAACCAUGGGGCAGGAGGGGUUGAGACUGAGGAGAGCUACUGAUUCAGAGUUAUAACUUCCAUUUUUGUUGUAUUAAUUAAUAUGUGUGGUCCACCUGCCUCAGAUUCAUCACUCGUCAUUGUUGUGACGCUUGGACUGUCCCUUUGUUACUCCUCAUGUCGGUCCUGUUUGCACUUCCUCACCUGCAACAGGACCGAGUAUCAGAGGAGAUGAAAAUAGAUGCUGUCCAUGAGCUGCGAAGCAUCAUUCCCAUGAAGAUGCUGGGGCAUAAGCUUCCACCCUUCCUGACUUGAGGCAUCCAUUUCCCUCUCUGGUUUCAACCACCACUGAUGUCUAGCUUACUCUUGCCAUCACUCAAGGCUGAACACAUACGGAGCAUUGAUGGAGCACCCGUCCUUCCUUUUUCUAAAAUGUUAUCCGUACUUCAUGAAGUCGUCCUCAUAACAUCAUAUGAAAAGUCAGCCGGAAUACCAUUUCCACCUCUUAGAACAGGGCAUCGAUCGAGGCACUCAGGGAUGGAUCUACAACCCUUUCCCCAGGUUCAUGAUUCUUCUAAAUGUGUUUGAACCAGACCAUUAGGCACGAUCACUCUACUUUCCUGUGUUUCUAGAAGGUCUCAGUUAAACAAAGGCAUUUGUUCAAAACUCCUGUCUUUCGGUUGUUUUAAACUGCAUGAUCCUUCUAAGUCUGACUUUGAUCCAGGCAGCACUCCUGGGCAGCUGGUGAGCCAGGGGACCAAAAGAUAAAAUGGAAUAAAUGAGUACGAAUUUCCCUAUGGUCUUCUGACAGCAAGAUGUCAACUGUCCUCCCUGU
rnacentral:lncRNA from 9 species